rnacentral:tRNA from 2 species
GUGGCAGUAGUUUAAUUGUUAAAACCCCAUGAUUCCGACCUGGUCGUUGCGAGUUAGAGCCUCGUCUGCCACU